CCUACGGGAGGCAGCAGUAAGGAAUAUUGGGCAAUGGAGGCAACUCUGACCCAGCCAUGCCGCGUGAAGGAUGAAGGCCCUAUGGGUUGUAAACUUCUUUUGUACGGGAAUAAACCUGGUUACGUGUAACCAGUUGAAUGUACCGUAAGAAUAAGCACCGGCUAACUCCGUGCCAGCAGCCGCGGUAAUACGGAGGGUGCAAGCGUUAUCCGGAUUUAUUGGGUUUAAAGGGAGCGUAGGCGGGAUUGUAAGUCAGUGGUGAAAGCCCGUAGCUCAACUACGGAACUGCCAUUGAUACUGCAGACCUAGAGUACACUUGAAGUGGGCGGAAUGUGUCAUGUAGCGGUGAAAUGCUUAGAUAUGACACAGAACACCAAUUGCGAAGGCAGCUCACUAAAUUGUAACUGACGCUGAGGCUCGAUAGCUGGGGAUCAAACAGGAUUAGAUACCCUGGUAGUCCACGCCGUAAACGAUGAUUACUCGAUGUUGACGAUACACUGUCAGCGUCUGAGCGAAGACAUUAAGUUAAUACCACCGUACGGGUAGGUACGGUCGGCGAACGACGUAGAAACGUACGAAACUAAAGUUAGUACGGCGUAGAGACGUAGACCGACGGACGACGACGAGGGGAGGAGGG
rnacentral:rRNA from 1 species